UACGUAGGGUGCGAGCGUUGUCCGGAAUUACUGGGCGUAAAGAGCUCGUAGGCGGCCCUGUCGCGUCGGAUGUGAAAGCCCCGGGGCUUAACCCCGGGUCUGCAUUCGAUACGGGCAGGCUAGAGUGUGGUAGGGGAGAUCGGAAUUCCUGGUGUAGCGGUGAAAUGCGCAGAUAUCAGGAGGAACACCGGUGGCGAAGGCGGAUCUCUGGGCCAUUACUGACGCUGAGGAGCGAAAGCCAGGGGAGCAAACGGG
rnacentral:rRNA from 1 species